AGUGAACGCUGGCGGUAGGCCUAACACAUGCAAGUCGAACGGCAGCACAGUAAGAGCUUGCUCUUACGGGUGGCGAGUGGCGGACGGGUGAGGAAUACAUCGGAAUCUACCUUUUCGUGGGGGAUAACGUAGGGAAACUUACGCUAAUACCGCAUACGACCUACGGGCGAAAGCAGGGGAUCUUCGGACCUUGCGCGAUUGAAUGAGCCGAUGUCGGAUUAGCUAGUUGGCGGGGUAAAGGCCCACCAAGGCGACGAUCCGUAGCUGGUCUGAGAGGAUGAUCAGCCACACUGGAACUGAGACACGGUCCAGACUCCUACGGGAGGCAGCAGUGGGGAAUAUUGGACAAUGGGCGCAAGCCUGAUCCAGCCAUACCGCGUGGGUGAAGAAGGCCUUCGGGUUGUAAAGCCCUUUUGUUGGGAAAGAAAAGCAGCAGGUUAAUACCCCGCUGUUCUGACGGUACCCAAAGAAUGAGCACCGGCUAACUUCGUG
rnacentral:rRNA from 1 species